rnacentral:rRNA from 1 species
GUCUAUGACCAUACCACCCUGAAUGCUCCCAAUAUUGGAAGUUAAGCAGGGUUGGGCCUGGUUAGUACUUGGGUGGGAGACCGCCUGAGAUUACUGAGUACUGUAUGUU